rnacentral:lncRNA from 1 species
AGCACUCCCACAGAGAGGGAGAGAGGUGGCCAUGGCAUGAUGCUCACCGGUCUCGAUGACCCUCUCCUUCCCAGCUGGAACGAGCAAGGAAGGAGAAGCGACCGCGGACACCGUCUGCCUCCCUCUCAGAUUCAUCGGGAGACUCGACCCCUGGGGUCUCCCAGCACCGACGGACCGACGACUACUAAUGUAGGUUCGAAGAAAUCG